AUUGAACGCUGGCGGCAGGCCUAACACAUGCAAGUCGAGCGGAUGAAGGGAGCUUGCUCCUGGAUUCAGCGGCGGACGGGUGAGUAAUGCCUAGGAAUCUGCCUGGUAGUGGGGGAUAACGUCCGGAAACGGGCGCUAAUACCGCAUACGUCCUGAGGGGGAAAGUGGGGGAUCUUCGGACCUCACGCUAUCAGAUGAGCCUAGGUCGGAUUAGCUAGUUGGUGGGGUAAAGGCCUACCAAGGCGACGAUCCGUAACUGGUCUGAGAGGAUGAUCAGUCACACUGGAACUGAGACACGGUCCAGACUCCUACGGGAGGCAGCAGUGGGGAAUAUUGGACAAUGGGCGAAAGCCUGAUCCAGCCAUGCCGCGUGUGUGAAGAAGGUCUUCGGAUUGUAAAGCACUUUAAGUCGGGAGGAAGGGCAGUAAGUUAAUACCUUGUUGUUUUGACGUUACCAACAGAAUAAGCACCGGCUAACUUCGUG
rnacentral:rRNA from 1 species